UCAACAGAUUGCAAUUACCUGAUAUGUUCCGUACGAGAUGAUACAAUAAAACUAUUAGAUUUACGCAAGAAUCAAGUUAUAUCCACCUUUGCCAAUGAACACUUCAAGGUCAGUUGUGACUUUGCUCGUGCAUCCUUCAAUUCUGGAGCUACGAAAAUCGCCUGCGGUUCUGCAGAUGGUGCAAUAUAUAUAUGGAAUGUGAAUGGUUUUCUCGAAACGACGCUCAAAGGGCACAGCACGGCCGUGAAUGCAGUCAGCUGGAGUCCAAAUAGUAAUUCCCUGGCCUCAGUUGGUAAAAGUAAAAGAUGCAUCAUCUAUUCCGAUUCGUAGCCCACAGAUGAAAUUCCCUCCAGCUAUUUGUUAUAAUUGUGCACUCAACUCCAGCAUGCAUUCAGCUAUAUAUCUAUGGUAUAUAUAGUUACUAUAUGGGGACUAUGGUGAAUUGUUAUCGUCUAUGUUGUCCCGUCAUUGGUUAGCACCUCGUUGAAAUUAUAAUUUAUGCGUUUUGAUGUUAUACAAUUACUUAUUUCUUGCAACACUUCAUCAACGAAUUAAACAUUUUCUAUGUGACAUAA